AGCCCGGUGGUGCAGCGGCCAAGCAUGGCGAGAGGCGGGUGAGGGCCAGCCCCCUCCCAUAAGGCUCUGGAUCCCUAUAGGGAGGAGAACCCCGCCGACGGGAGUUCGAAUCUCCCCCGGGCUACCA
rnacentral:tRNA from 1 species